GAACAUUUAGAAGGGUAUCCCUGGCAACCUUCUUCAGGGACAACGAACAUGAAGAGGAAUAGCCCAAGCACUCACCCUCAAAGACAGGGAACAUGAAGAGGAGUAACCCCAGCAACUCUCUUCAGAGAAAAGCAACAUGAACAGGAGCAGCCCCGGCGAUCAUCUUCAGGGACAGGGAACAUGAAGAGGAGUGACCUGGCAACCCCCUUCAGGGACAAGACAUGUGAAGAGAAGCGGCCCCUGCAACCUUACUCCUCAGGAGCAGGGAUGAUAUAAAGGUAUUGCCUAAACUUGGUUCCUACCUGCCAUGUCUGACAUUUUCAAACGUCGGACUCACCGGAGCAUCAGGACACGGACUUUCUCCAGAGGGGACAAUGAGAAAACUCUUGGAAGAAUGACCGUCGGACAUAAUGUACUUUUAGUGAAGGGUGGCAAAUCCUGGAACAAACUGACACUGACAAUGAAGGAGUGUCAUUUCUCACUUUCAAAAGUCAACCAGUGGCUGAAAGCAAACAGUCCCAGGAUCAUUUUGUGUCGGAUCUGUUUGACAAUUUGUUACCAGCAAAGGAACUAAGUACUGAAUAAGCAGUAAACAAUACUUUGCUGGAUGCCAACUUGUUAUAAUAGACUAUUUAAUCUCAAUUAGAGUCAAAAACCUUUUGUGAAUAAACAAAGUUUAUUUGUGCUGACAGGUUUAUGGUUGUGGCCUCUGGCCUUAAAAUUAGUUAACCGCAAUCAACAAGAAGGUAUGACAUUUUAUACUCAUUACCUUACAAAAUGAAAACAGAAGGGGGUUACCGUCUUCAAACCACAUCUCUUGGAAAUCACCACAGGCAUCUCAGUUGAAAAAUAAAGCAAGCCUUAGAAUAGUGAACUCCAGGGGAAGAGGGUGACUUAUUACUGCUUUCUGCUCAGUUACAGAUCCAUAGUUUAUGAGCACCAGCAGCGAAAUGGAAAUAAGCAGCCGUGAGUCACCGAGAUUCUUGGCUCUCUUUGUGAUCAUUGCAGUUUGCACAUCACCUACUGCAUGUGUGGUGCCACGACAGCUUUGGGAAAAGACGUCGCCACAAAUCUCUCGACAACGACGGCAGCGCUAAUUUCACACACGCUUUUGACAUCUACAACACUGGAAAAAAGGAGGAAUAUUGUCAGAGCAGACACCAAAGUUUGAUGUUUUCAUGAAUACAUUAUUAAAUACAAAGGAACAAAAGAUAACACUGCAGUGGUGACUAGGUUUCCAGAUAGUUUUAUUUUUUUUUUCUUGUAGAUGUAGAAGUAUAUUUAUGAUUUGUAUUCAGUUUUGUUGCAGAAAAUGUCUGAUGCAUGUGUUUGAGUACAUAUUGCUCUACAAUGUACUGCUGUGUAAAAUAUAUUCUUCUCGGCAGCAGUAAAAACUUGAAUCAUUUUCUUUUACCUUCAUUCUGUUAGAAACCUUCACUGUGAGUCCUAACCAAGAUGGACAGAAGUGAAUAUAAACACAUGCAACACAUUUAUAAAACUAUUCAGACAUUCAAGCUAGAAACCACAUACCAGAAAAAUAGCUGAAAAAAGUUAUAAAAAGCAGGGAUUUCUAGUGGAAUUUGUGCCACCACUUAUCGCUUUGGGUUUAAGGUGGCCUAGAAAGAUUAUUUUUUGUUAUUUUGCAGAACUUUUUUUUAACUGUUGCACAAUAACAAACAGCAGUUUUAGCCAGUUUUGUGUAGGUGAAUGGAAGAAAAAAAAAAGCAGGAAAAUGCAAAAAAAAAAAAAAAUCUUGA